UCAACACCUACAGCACUCUCUCCACUCUGCUCUGCCCCACUCACCAUUCUACGCAUCGAUCCGCGAGGAGCAGGGCGCUUCAAGUCAAGUAACGACAUCCGAAAUCUUCAUGAGGUGCAAACUAUGGACAAAGACUUGAUGCAGAGGAAUGGUUGUGCGGCGGUGGCGAUUGUACAUCGCACGUAGCUGCUGGGAUCGCGGAGAAGUGGUGGCGACAACACAUGAGUGACUUUGAUGAUGGUGCUAUUUUUGCAUCCAGUCUCGAGUUUGGGGUGAAAAGCCUAGGUCUAACUGAUGGUGGUCAUACCUAGCAAUGGCGAUGUGUUUUUAUGUCGUUACCUUGUUGAAGGCAUUGCUCGGAUAUGCUCGGACUGAUUCUUGAGAGUGAAAACCUAGAUUCUUGCCUUAGUGGUUGGAUCCAGUGACGAUGGUGCUUGAGUAUCGCUCCCUUCCUGAAGGAGUUGCUGUUGAAGAACAUCAUCGUCCGUGUGGUGUCAUGAGAUGAUUGAUGCAGAUGUGGUCUUUGUUAUAGUUUGCCGACCGCGGAUCUGAUCGCUUGAAUUUUUUUUCUCGCCUACCUAUCCCUUUGGUCUUAUGUGACUUUUCUA